CCCCGCCCCGGCCCUGCCCUCCACCUCCCGCCGCCGCCGCCGGCAAUUUUUGAAGGCAAAUCCGGCUGCGUCACUUCCAGCCUGGUAGGACGGGGGAGACGGUCCACCCAGCCGGACCGACAAGGAGUUGGUUUACGUUUGAGCGUUAUAACUAAGAGCGAAGAGCUGCUUUGGUUUUAAAUUAUAAAGAGUAGCGGGGAAAGAAGAAAGAAAAAAAACCAAGAAAGAGCAACUGCAUUGGCCGGGAAUCGAACCCGGGCCUCCCGCGUGGCAGGCGAGAAUUCUACCACUGAACCACCAAUGCUUGUGCGAUGAAUCGUCCCUGCCUUCAUGACUCAAAGAUGGUGUUGUUCUGGGGAAGAAAACGUGUCUAAGAGUGCUGAGGAAAACCUGCUGCCGAGCGAGUGGAGUCAGACCAGAAAACCGCCCUUAAGUAUCCUUGAUGGAGCAGUACCUCGGCACCUGUCUAAAGAGACUCAGCUGCUUAGCAACAAAGAGGAUUUAAAGGUUGAGCACAAUGCAGGAGGUUUAUUAUAGUCCUUCAGGGUCAACUCCAAACCCCCACAGCAGUAUGUCAUCCUUUAAUUAACUAUAUCACAUCCAUUCUUACUCGUCUUGUUAUUCUAUUUCUACCCAUUCUUAAACUGGCAGUUUUAGUCUUUCCCAUUUCUAACAAAUGUCUACGUUUAAAACAACCAUUCCUACAUUACUUCAGCUAUCAAGACACAGCUGCUGAUGAGUUUCUAAAAUUUAAAGUGUAUCACAUCACUUGGUUGAUGAAGCUGGAGGAAUUUUCUGUCUCCCCUUUGUAGGUGGGCUAAUGAAUAAAGAAUGGUACUGUAUUUCCACAAACUCCUCCACAAGUAUAGCAGAAUUAGGAUAUAACUCAGUCUCUCCAAUAACACAUUAGUUUCUGCAUUAGCACUUUGAGAUGUGCACUUCAAGAAGGGGAUUUUCACAAACACAGAUGAAAGUUGUGAUACAUUGUCUUCUUAAGGAACAGCUUCAUGGUACAAAAAGAAUACCAACAAAUUGAACUCUUGAAAAUCAACAUGUAUACUUUUGAGAACAGGUUACAAACAUGAGGUGACAGCCAAGUACAACAGCAUUCCUGCUGUUACACGUGUGCCAUUUUAAUGUUAAACAGUAGAACUGCUGCAGCAUAAAUGGAACUUGUAGAAGAGGGAUGUGAAGGAGGACAGAAAAAUAAAUGUAAUUGGGCAACUAAUGUUUACAUUUUAUGCCUGAAUAGCCAAAAUAAGAAUGUGAUUUUCACUUCUUAUAAAGGUCCAGUGUGGUGUUUAUUAUUCCAUCAAUUGUUACACUACAGAAACUGAUUCUGAGAACAAUUUCUAGAACUCAGAAUGUCACUGACCACCAGUAGCUGAUAAUUCAGUUAGGCUGCUCAUGAGAGCUGGAAUUCUUUCUCUUAUUCUAAAAUAGCCUUUAAGAAGGUGUCAGUGCAACCACUCAAAUCCCAUCCCCCAGGUCAAACACACAAUGCUGUGUGUUCAGUCAACAGGGGCAAGAAAGCCUCCACUGCUCAACUGCUGGGCACUGACAAACUGGAAACCUGGCAGUCCUGGACGGAGGGGAUGGAUGCUCCAGUGUACCUACUGGAAAAGUCAGCAAAGAUGCACAUUCUUUUCACAUGAACA